GCCAGUGUGGUGUAGUGGUUUGAGUAUUGGAUUAUGACUCUGGAGAUCAGGGUUUGAUUCCCAGCUUGGCCA